GGGCCCGCACAAGCGGUGGAGCAUGUGGUUUAAUUCGAUGCAACGCGAAGAACCUUACCAGGGUUUGACAUAGUACGAAGUUUUUUGAAAAAAAACCACCUUCGGGAACGUACAUACAGGUGGUGCAUGGCUGUCGUCAGCUCGUGUCGUGAGAUGUUGGGUUAAGUCCCGCAACGAGCGUAACCCUUGUUUUUAGUUGCCUUUCGAGGAUAUUUAGAAAGACUGCCGAUUAUAAAUCGGAGGAAGGUAAGGACGACGUCAAGUCAUCAUGCCCCUUAUGUCCAGGGCUGCACGCAUGCUACAAUGGCAAGUACAACGAGUCGCAAUACCGCGAGGUGGAGCAAAUCCGACAAAACUUGUCGUAGUCCGGAUCGAAGUCUGCAACUCGACUUCGUGAAGUCGGAAUC
rnacentral:rRNA from 1 species